GAUGAAGAACGUAGCGAAAUGCGAUAAGUAAUGUGAAUUGCAGAAUUCAGUGAAUCAUCGAAUCUUUGAACGCACAUUGCGCCCCUUGGUAUUCCGAGGGGCAUGCCUGUUCGAGCGUCAUUAUAACCCCUCAAGCUCAGCUUGGUGUUGGGGCCUGCUGCACUGGCAGCCCUUAAAUCAGUGGCGGCGCCAUCUGGCUCUAAGCGUAGUAAUUCUUCUCGCUAUGGAGUCCUGGUGGAUGCUUGCCAUCAACCCCCAAUUUUUCUAUGGUUGACCUCGGAUCAGGUAGGGAUACCCGCUGAACUUAAGCAUAUCAAUAAGCGGAGGA
rnacentral:misc_RNA from 1 species